GCUGCGGAGGGACCCAUCGGCCUAGCGUGGGCCGGAACUACUUCCUCCGGCAACCUGCAGAAAGACCGGUUUCCGGUGUGCCGGAAGGUGUCCCUGAGGCCACAGAGUCAUAGUGGGGAAACAAGCCCAGAGGGAAAGCUGAGUGGCUCAAAAUUCCCCCGCAAGUUUCCUAGUGUCAUGCAGAGGGCUGCAAUUCCAGCCAGAUCCCCUGCAGCAGAUGGUAAUCAUACAAGCCAGGGUUCAUUGUGCUCUUACCAAGUACCAG